UUCAAGUACUUGGCCAUGUGCUCACAAC
rnacentral:piRNA from 1 species